GACCCUGCUGGACUGGCGAGCCCCUGCCCCAGGAGCCCAGCACCCGCCCUGCAGGAGAAAGCCAGGCCAAGCAGUGACCACGUUGUCACAGGGGCUCGGCUAGUCCCCAAGCACAGAUUGGAAUAUUUGAAGGAACUGACCUCCGAGGCACGUGGUCCCCAGUUCGUCCUUGAGGCUGCUUCUCUUUGGUUCCACUGGUUGAUUUAAUCAAAAGCUCCUGGCAGAGACGGAACGUGUGCCCAGCGCGCGUCCUGGCUCCUGGCCUCCACACGGGAUUGGCGUCACGUCUCCUCUUCGCUCCUGCCGGACCGGCCGGCACACAUCCCACCUGCCACAGGCCCACUCGCCCUCCCCGCGGGUCGCCUGUGCGUGUGCAUGCGUUGUGCCCAGCAUUUUCAGCCAGUUUCCGGUUUUCCUUUGACUUCCUCUGGCUUGCGGGUUGUUAGGUUUGCAUCUAAUUUUCAAACAGGCAGGGAUUGUCCGGAAAGCUUUCUGUUCCUUCUUCGUAGCGAAGUCCCAGUGCACUCAGAGAACAUGGCAUUUUCGUCACUUGAUGCUUCUUUAUUAGCCUCAUUAUUCAAAGUGGGAAACUCGGUGGCCGGGGGCCUGGCACAGGCCAGCGUACCCAGCCCAGGGCCAAGCCCCAGAGUGCGGCUCCCCUGAGGGCUGCCUGCUCCUCCCGGGGAGACGUUGGGCCCCUGCCCUCAGAGGGCCAGGGUGGCAGGCCACCACCCCCACUCCGCAGCCCCUGCUUGUGCCAGGACGUCCAACUGACUGCCAUGCGCCAGGAGGCAGCGAAGCCCGGAGCUGAGGACCGAGGCCUGACAGGAAGGGAGCGGUCGGGCCAGAGGCCAGGCGCCUCGGGAGGUAGGGCCAGGAGCGCGUCAGGCCCCCGUCCUGCCCGUCCUGCCCGUCCAGCCACAGCCCCUUCCUGCAGUUGUCGCCUCAACACGGAAGGCAGCACCUCAGUUCAACCGGUAUGGCCGCCCUGGUGAGGUGGCGGCCUGGGAAUUCCCAUGGCCCACGGGACUAGCGCCCUGUGGCCCACACCCUUCUGAAACACCUUUGGAGCAUGCUGUCACUGUCACGUCUGACCCAAUGGAGAGGGGUUGCCGAGUGGGGACACUCCCGGGACAGGAUGACGUGAGCUGGUGGGGUGGGGGCAGGAGCGGCGGGGGCCCACGGGCUCUUCCUGGCCACAGCGGCCUCAUGCUCUCUUCAGGCACCACGCUGCAGUCCCUGCGUGACUAAAGCGUGGGCCGGCCUGGCUGUGGGGGCGCCCAGCACCAGCGAGUCGGUGGAUGCCCUAGGGUCCCUGGCGGAGCUGUCCCCGCCCACACCCCAGAGGCAGGCCGGGUGGCGCUGGUUCACACAGGGCUGCUGAAGGCGCAAGUGCCACGCACGGAGCACCCAGCCGGAGGAGUCCCCAGGAGCCUGCAUCUGGGCCCGGCAGACCAGCCAGCGCAUCAGCCCCACGCAUCCCCUGGGAGGGACUUUGCUGGAACUUGCACUCCGCGGGGUGCCGGGGCUGGGCCUCCAGGGCUGGGGGCUCUCAGCAGCUUUCUUUGGAGAGCCACAACUUCCACUUCCCGGGGCCCCACCUCCGAGGGCUGCCCUGGCUGGGCCAAUCAGAAGGCGGCCGCGGGACUGUCCCACUGUGGGAGAACCAGCCGGCCUCUGCCUUUGCAGGGCUGAGCAGAGCCAUCAGGAAGUGCACAGGCCCUGUGGCUGGCACCUCCCUCUCUCCGGCCGGCUCACCUACUGCCUGGUGAAUCGGUGUCCAGCUGCGUGGGUGCCCCCUCCAGGACCCUGAGCUGCUGCCCUGAACGCCAGCCGCCGCUGCCGCCAUGUCGGACUACGAGAACGAGGAUGCGUGCUGGAGCACACUGGAGGGCUUCAGGGUGAAGCUCAUCUCGGUCAUCGACCCCUCGCGCAUCACUCCCUACCUGCGGCAGUGCAAAGUCCUGAACCCCGACGACGAGGAGCAGGUGCUCAGCGACCCCAACCUCGUCAUCCGCAAGCGGAAAGUGGGCGUACUCCUGGACAUCCUGCAGCGGACCGGCCACAAGGGCUAUGUGGCCUUCCUCGAGAGCCUGGAGCUCUACUAUCCGCAACUCUACAAGAAGGUCACGGGCAAGGAGCCCUCCCGCGUCUUCUCCAUGAUCAUCGACGCGUCCGGGGAGUCGGGCCUGACGCAGCUCCUGAUGAGCGAGGUCAUGAAGCUGCAGAAGAAGGUGCAGGACCUGACGGCGCUGCUGAGCUCCAAGGACGACUUCAUCAAGGAGCUGCGGGUCAAGGACAGCCUGCUGCGCAAGCACCAGGAGCGCGUGCAGAGGCUCAAGGAGGAGUGCGAGGCCUGCGGCCGCGAGCUCAAGCGCUACAAGGACGAGAACUACGACCUGGCCAUGCGCCUGGCCCGCCAGAGCGAGGACAGGGGCGCCGCGCUCAUGCGCAACCGCGACCUGCAGCUGGAGAUCGACCGGCUGAAGCACAGCCUGAUGAAGGCGGAGGACGACUGCAAGGUGGAGCGCAAGCACACGCUGAAGCUGCGGCACGCCAUGGAGCAGCGGCCCAGCCAGGAGCUGCUGUGGGAGCUGCAGCAGGAAAAGGCCCUGCUGCAGGCCCGGGUGCAGGAGCUGGAGGCCUCUGCCCAGGAGGGGAAGCUGGACAGGAGCAGCCCCUACAUCCAGGUGCUGGAGGAGGACUGGCGGCAGGCUCUGCGGGACCACCAGGAGCAGGCCAACACCAUCUUCGCCCUGCGCAAAGACCUGCGCCAGGGGGAGGCCCUGCGCGCCCGGUGCAUGGAGGAGAAGGAGAUGUUUGAGCUGCAGUGCCUGGCCCUGCGGAAGGACUCCAAGAUGUACAAGGACCGCAUCGAGGCCAUCCUGCAGCAGAUGGAGGAGGUCGCCGUCGAGCGGGACCAGGCCAUCGCGUCGCGGGAGGAGCUGCACGCCCGCUACGCCCAGAGCCUGCAGGACAAGGACGCACUUCGCAAGCGAGUGCGGGAGCUGGGCGGGAAGGCCGACGAGCUGCAGCUGCAGCUGUUCCAGCGCGAGGCCCAGCUGCUGGCCGCGGAGGGCCAGCUCAAGCGGCAGCAGCUGGAGAUGCUGGUCCUGAGCUCCGACCUGGAGGACAGCUCACCCAGGAACUCCCAGGAAGUGAGUGUGACCCGCGGGGUGGGUGGCUCUGCCAGACCACAGCCCCACACUCGUCCCUCGGAAGUUCCAGAAGCUCAGCGACCCUCUCUCCUCCCAUCCCUCGGCCAAGCGGAGGGCCGAGCCGCUGGCGCCCGCCGAGGCCUCUGUGUGCUCAGGGCAGGACGGGCCCGGCAGUGCCCACCCCCUGGCCCUGGUGGCCGGGCCUUCUUGCCGGCCCCGGCCUGGCUGAGCAGCAGAGGCCCCCGAGAAGCUUGUGGAGAGGGCGGCAGCGCAGCAGGCUGGAUCCAGUUCCCAGGGGGGCGGGGGUCUAACAGCUGCCCGUUUCUCUCCGGAAGCUGUCGCCCCCCCAGGACCUGGAGGAGGACACCCAGCUCUCAGACAAAGGAGGCCCGGCCGAAGGGGAGAGCCCAGAGCAGCCCUUUGUGGCCCUGCAGAAGGACCGGCUUUCACUGACCCCCAAUGUAAGGCAGCCCCUGGGGGGGCCCAGGUGUGGGCCUCAGUGAGGAGAGCUUCCUCACUCUGCACAGCUGGGGGGGUGAUUGAAAGGGUCUCUGCCCACCGGCUCGUGGGGUGCAGUGUUUGCAACAUGAAGCUGAGCCCCCUCCCUUGGACAAAGCAGCAGGCAGAGGGGCAGCCAGGACAGGGCUGUGCCCAGCCCUGGGGAGCCUAAUGGGAGGUCCACGCAGCCUUAACGGUGACUCCUGGCCUGGCCCCCACCCCCAUGUGCAGUCCUGCGGGGAGCACGCGAGCACUGGUCUAAGCCUGAGCCACCCCCUCCUCCAGGACUCAGGCCUGGGCGGCGGGGAGCCCCCCGAGAAAGAGCGGCGACGCCUCAAGGAGAGCUUUGAGAACUACCGCAGGAAGCGGGCGCUUCGGAAGAUGCAGCACGGCUCGAGACAGGGCGAGGUGGACUGGGAGAACACCACGGGCAGC